rnacentral:snRNA from 1 species
UCACUUUGUCAGAAUAUACUAAAACUGGAAAGAUAUAGAUGAUUAACAUGGCUUCUGUGCAAGAAUGACAUGCAAAUUUGUGAAGCAUUGCACAUUUUU